rnacentral:lncRNA from 1 species
AUUUGUUCGUCAACCAGGGUUUGGUGCAUGUAGAAAUAUUUUUAAAAACGAGUUUCAAAUACACCAAGCGUACCUGAGAAUUUUGUUCGUCUAACGACAAUUUAUUUCAAAUGCCCUUGCACUUAACUUCCAUGCAAACCCAACACAUGACUCAAGACCUAAUGACUUAAGUUUUUGGGUAGUUCCAAACAUACAAGUAUUUUGUAUGCAUAGGCUUACGCAAUUGACGAAAAAUAUGUUUUUGAAGCAUGAGAUUUAAA